GACGAAGGAUGCAAGCGUUAUCCGGAUUCAUUGGGCUUAAAGGGAGCGUAGGUGGCCUUAUAAGUCAGUUGUGAAAUCUCUGGGCUUAACCCAGAAAUUGCCAUUGAUACUGUAGGGCUUGAGUAUAGUUGCCGUUGGCGGAAUAUGACAUGUAGUGGUGAAAUACAUAGAGAUGUCAUAGAACACCGAUUGCGAAGGCAGCUAACGAAACUAUAACUGACACUGAGGCUCGAAAGUGCGGGGAUCAAACAGG
rnacentral:rRNA from 1 species